rnacentral:lncRNA from 1 species
AGCAGAGAAAUCUAGGGUUUUCUCUUUGUCUACUGAUGAGAAGAGGGGGAAAAAGAAAAGAAGAUUCCUCAUACCAGCACUCUUGGAUUAAAUAUGGGCAUCAAUGGCAAGUAAAUUACAACUGGUAAAGGGAUAGCAACAGUGGUAAAGAGUGUCAAAGCAUUGUUAUUUGUCCUGGCUG